UGCCAUCUUGCAGAACCAUUUUUCAGCCAGUUGCACGAAGAUCUUAGGAUCCCAGCACGACUACGUGCUGCUGGGCAUGGACAUCUAUCGCCACAUCAGUCGUACACGGCAGCUUCAGGCUGAAAGCCGGCAAGUAGGACCAAUGUCGCCUGCUUCUUCCUUUCCUGAGCGCCGCGCAGGGCCCGCAGAUCCGCUGGCACCGCCCGCGGUCCGCCCCUUCCUCCCGCCCUCCCAAGAUGGUGCCGUGCCGAUACCGGCGGCCGAGAAUCCAUCCCCGAGGCCGCGAGCGAACGGCCGCCCCGCCCCGGGGCCGGGCCCAUCGAGGCGCUCGGCGUUCCGCUUGCCGGCCUGCCGGGCUGCCACGCGCCGUGCGGUCGCUCGCGGUGCGCGGCCGCCGGGAUCGCGGCUCCUUCAGCCGCACAGCGCCGAGGGGUGCGGCGCUGCAAGUCCGCAGCGGGCGCUCCCCGUCGGCGAAUGAGGGGCUGGGCAGCGCUGGGGUUCCCUCUGACGGGAGCAGCUGUGAUGGAAGAGAAUUUCCUCUACAUAGUCGUUAUCGAGCGUUUCUGCAGUCUCGUCAGUGAGAUGCUGGGGGGAGACGAGGUCGAGUAGAUAAGAACCAUGGAGGAACAGGACACGGUCACAGCACGAACUGGGGGCUGGAGGAGUAGGACGGAGCUUGAAACCGGCAUGUCGUAAAGGCCUGUGGUCUGAGCGCUCCAGGAAAUGCGGUGAAUUAGCUCUCGGUUCAGGCUGCCUGGUGUUUUUUAAUGCAUUCUGAGUGUAUGUUAUAAAUAAUACUGCAUUGAUUCAUUGACCUUCGGUCCUUGCUCUUCUGCCUUCAAGCCAGAACAUGCAGCGAGGUGCUUUUAUGUUAAAUUUUGACUUCACGACUUCGGAAGGAAAUUAUAGAUAAAAUUCACUCAUUAAAACUGGUAAAACAGCAGCCCUGUAGAACCUGGGGGACCUGAAAACAAUGCAAAACGUAGUGGUGGGAUCGUGUGUGCAUCUCACAGCAUCCGAUUCCAUUUUGAUCUUGCACUUCCUUCCUGUAAGUGUUUAUGCUGGGACCCAGUAAACUUCCACAGCUCAUCCAAGGUCGCUGAGUUAAUGUGUGGCAAAGAGAUCCAAAGAGCUGUGGCUGCAGCACUGACAGAGAGACUGCAGCGAUGCCUUUUUAUGGCCAAUGGCACUUAGUUACUGAGCAGGUAUUUUGAAAUUUUUAACGCAUAAUUCAUAUUAAAAUGGAGCGAUAGUUAAAUCCUUUGCUAAUAUCAAGCUGCAUGUGUUCAUGCGAGGAGAGAGAGCAACUAAGGUGAGAGGGAAGGGGCACGCCCUCAGCUUUUUCUGUCCUGCCUGAUUACACAGUGAUGGAAAAGCUGUGGGAAGGUGUAAUGAAGCUCAACUCUGUUGUGCCUGGCAAAACACCUGGAGACGCACAGAUGUCGUGUAUUUUCUCGGUCAUCGAUAGUGGAAAACAUACGAACUGAAACACACAAGAAGGAACUUAGGCUGUGGUUCUUAAGGCAUUUGAAGAAAAGCAGGUCAAUAUUGUAAGAAGCCCACACGCCUGUGUUUCUUGACGCCUACAGAUAUCACAGGACUCUCGUAUUCUUAGCCCCUGACUAAGAAGUUUGCUUCCUAUUGUAGAAGUUCACAUGAUGACCUUGUGUCUUCUCUGAAAGAAACGGCUGUACGAAUUAUUUCCCCCUUUUGUGGGGGGGCUCUUCUCUUUUAGAAUUAGUUUGCAUAAUCCCAUGCAAUAGGACUGUCUCUUUUAGCGUACUGCAAAUACACUGCAUAUUUAUUUUUGUCAUGGUGAAUAUUUUAGGUACACAAAUCUCAAGGCAAAAUUAGAUUUACUUCUCAGCAGCGCUGUAAUGUUUUCAUAAGAGAAAAUAUCCUCAAUUUUAUUUUACAGAUGGAUAAAUUACAUUUCCAAAGAACAUUAGAAUUCAGUUUCUGCUCUCCUGUGCUCCGUUUAGGAGAAUGUAAUGGAUGGUUUGAAUGAAGUAGAUCAGAUCUCAAGAAGGAAAUUUAAUACUUCUGGAAGCUCCAUGAUAGAUCUUUACAAAGGAAUUGUAUGUGCUUAUUUUAGAGAAAUGCUUCAGAAGGAUUCGGAUCAGAUCUUUGGUGAACGAGAUAGAAACAACAAGGCAGCAAUAGAAAUUGUAUUAAAAUGUAAACUGAGAAACUCAGUUUCAACCCAUUAUUUUUCUCCUAAUGAAAAGGAUGCAGACUAAGCGUUCAAGACCAGAAUGCAUUGCAGCAGUUUUCUCUGUUCUAUUGGGUGAGACCAAGAAUCCAUCCCACUCAGGGUCACAUCUCCACGGUGACUGGCAACGGGGAGCAGGGGAAAGGGUUUUGGAAGCAAGGCAGUUGCAGAGGAGUUGCUACAUGUUACAUCCUUGCGGUUUUAAGAAAUAAAUGGUUUACAGCAUCCUUAUCUGGACAUCUGUGAUUCAGCCAGUGCGUUCGAUAGCUCUUGACAGACCUAUUAACUUGUCUAAUUCCUUCUUUGAACCAGUUGUAGUGCAGAAUAUCAGCUGGUAAGGAUUUAUUUAGGUAGUUUCUGAGUGCAAAAUGAAAUACUUUGCUUUUCUUCGUUAGCCCUCUGGUUGAUAAUCAUACUGCAUAACUUCUGCUAGUUAUUUCCGCUCCACGAUAUUUGCACCAUCCGUGUUUUAAUGGGUCUUAUCAUAGUCCCCCCCAGCUGUCCUUGGUAUGUCCUCACAUCCUACACUUUGCAUGAAUCCACUGGUGGCCAAGGGAAUGGCUCUGUUACUCCGUAUCCUCACUGCCUUCCCAGAAUUCUGAUCCAAUUUUUGAGAUACUGAAAUAAAAACAUCAACAUCUGGGCAUAUUUUGGGUUAACAUUGUGAUAGUUAUGGCAUCCAUUUUGUUAUAUUUACUAACAUACUGUAUUUUUUGCCCUUUCUGAGCUGUUACAUGCUUACUAUUGUUACCUGCUUUACCAUAUGCCAAAGCUUUAAAACUUCAGUCCUUAGAAGUCUGUUGUUUUCAGUAAGACCUAUGCUUGUUAAUAAGACUACCAGUUCUUACAGGAAAAACGUUACACUGCAGAUGGCUUAGAAGCAAAAACCACAAAUAUUUUUGCAAUGUAGCUUCUUAUCAAGCCUUACUUUUAAUAGCUUUAGAAAAUUAAAUAAAAUCCAGAGCCUUUUCUGCUUCCUCCUGAGCAGGUCUUGCAAAUAUUAUCUAGUAGAGAGAUUACAGACAAGAUAAAAACUCAUCUGACCAAGUUGUCACCUAUAUGAGUCUCUUUACUCUUAUAGGAUUUCCUUUUUAAAACUUGGUUCCCAGACUGAAAAGGUGACUCAAUUGCUACCACUCAAUUAUUUUCUGUUGAUAAACUGUGAUCAUAAUUAAUACGUUAAAAAUGACAAUUAGGAAGGGGGAAAAAAAAAAAAGCAUUUGGAAGUCUUUCCAAGCAAAACAAGAAGUGGAAAGAAAGCCUUCAGAAAUGCUCUGAAUCACAGAUUCACCACCACGCUCCUGAGAAAAAUAAUCUGCUUAGGAGGGGACUCACGCAUAACCUUCAAGCAGGUUGGCAAGGGGGGAGUCAUGUGAAUACCAAAGAUAGCAGAAGCAUAUGUGUGGGUACCUGCUCUGCCUGGAGAGUCAAUCAAAAGAAGAAAUUAACCUUAAUUUAGAGUCAAAUGUGAUUUUUACUUGCACUGAAUACUCCCAUAGAAGAUCAUUUCUGGAGGUCAAGCCAGGCAGUUUGACCAGUAUAGAACUUCACAGUCUGCCUAACCCUGUAUGUUCAGGAGAACAUAGAACAGAUUUUGAUAUUUGUGCUUUUGUACAUUCCUGUAUGAAUAAUCACAGUGAUUCACUGAGGCUAAUUGCAACAUAAGGUACUAUUCAAAGCGAAUUGAAGCAUUGCCCAAUAUGGUAAUAGUUAACUGAUCCCUUGCUGGGCAAGCACGAUAUUCAAGAUAAAUCAGGACUCUCAUAAAAAGGGCUUAAAGCAAAGGAACAAAUGUUCCAUAUUGUUUUAUAAAGUAUUAGCAUUGCAGGCAUACAGUUCAAAUAGGUCAUAACUAUAGAAUACAUAAAGGGACUAAACUGGAAGUUGUUCUGCAGGGAAGUACAGGAAGAAAUGUUUCUAUUUUUCACGCCCUGUAAUGCAGCAAGUCCCUCUAGUCUUUCCAAGGCAGACUCCUAAGUCUUAAGCUUAUCAGAUGAGAAAUUUCACUAAUGGAACUAGUGGCGUGGGGCUUUGUCAGUACCUUGUCUUCAGAUAGAAAGAUCUCAGAAUAUUUUCUCAUUAACGGUAACGUUAGUUGGCUUUCAAGCUGGUACACCAAUUUGAAAAAGAAUGUUGUGUUCCAAGUAUGUCCUUGUAGCCAUUCUUGCAAUAAGGGGUAACAUAAUUGCCCUGGGCAACCUGAUCGAGUGCUUGAUCUAGCACUUGGCAAUCCUGCCUGCAACAGGGGGGUUCAAACUAUGGUCCCUGAAGGCCCUACCAACCCAAGCCAUUCUAUGAGUCUGUGAUAAUUCACGUCACCUUUUUGACCGUAAGAUUUUGCCCAACUUACAUAAUCAUCACCAUCUUUGCUGCAGUAUUUGUCUCACACAGUUUUUCAAAAACAGUAGAGGGAGUGAAACGCUUGGAUAAAAUAUUUCUGUUGGUUUUGAUAGAUCUGUGAUACUACACAAGUGCUUUCUCACAGAUCAUCCCUGGUCUUCUUCAAAGACACCGAUACAGUCCUGGCAGUGGCUGACACGUCACUGUAGAGCUACAAAUCAUCCCUUACUCUUUUCAUGAUCAAUUAAAGUCUUAUUCCAGCAGAAUUUCCCACAGUCUUUCAGCAGGGCAGGCAAGAAAUGUCAACUCCAUAGAAAUGAGUUAAGAGUUCAUUUCUCUGUGUAUUACAGAUAGACUGACUAAACCCAACGUAGAGGUACCCAGCACUCACAAAUAGUGGCCUGAAGUUAUUUCCAUUUUUAC
rnacentral:lncRNA from 1 species